rnacentral:rRNA from 2 species
AACGAACGCUGGCGGCAGGCUUAACACAUGCAAGUCGAGCGCCCCGCAAGGGGAGCGGCAGACGGGUGAGUAACGCGUGGGAAUCUACCUUUUGCUACGGAAUAACGCAGGGAAACUUGUGCUAAUACCGUAUGUGUCCUUCGGGAGAAAGAUUUAUCGGCAAGAGAUGAGCCCGCGUUGGAUUAGCUAGUUGGUGGGGUAAAGGCCUACCAAGGCGACGAUCCAUAGCUGGUCUGAGAGGAUGAUCAGCCACAUUGGGACUGAGACACGGCCCAAACUCCUACGGGAGGCAGCAGUGGGGAAUAUCGGACAAUGGGCGCAAGCCUGAUCCAGCCAUGCCGCGUGAGUGAUGAAGGCCCUAGGGUUGUAAAGCUCUUUCACCGGAGAAGAUAAUGACGGUAUCCGGAGAAGAAGCCCCGGCUAACUUCGUGCCAGCCGCCGCGGUAA